rnacentral:rRNA from 1 species
UACGUAGGGGGCUAGCGUUGUCCGGAUUUACUGGGCGUAAAGCGCACGUAGGCGGCGCAGCAAGUCAGGGGUGAAAUCCCGGGGCUCAACCUCGGAACUGCCCUUGAAACUGCAGUGCUAGAAUCUUGGAGAGGCGAGUGGAAUUCCGAGUGUAGAGGUGAAAUUCGUAGAUAUUCGGAAGAACACCAGUGGCGAAGGCGACUCGCUGGACAAGUAUUGACGCUGAGGUGCGAAAGCGUGGGGAGCAAACAGG